rnacentral:rRNA from 1 species
UACGUAGGUGGCAAGCGUUGUCCGGAUUUACUGGGCGUAAAGAGCGCGCAGGCGGUCGUACAAGUCGCGUGUGAAAGCCCCCGGCUCAACUGGGGAGGGUCACGCGAUACUGUUCGACUCGAAGGCAGGAGAGGGAAGCGGAAUUCCUGGUGUAGUGGUGAAAUGCGUAGAUAUCGGGAGGAACACCAGUGGCGAAGGCGGCUUCCUGGCCUGUUCUUGACGCUGAGGCGCGAAAGCUAGGGUAGCAAACGGG